CCAGGCAACAAUACUGGAGUGGGUUGCCAUGCCCUCCUCCAAGGGAUCUUCCCAACCCAGGGAUCAACCCACAUCUCCUGCAUGUCCUGCAUUAGCUGGUGGAUUCUUUACCAAUGAGCCACCAGGUAAGGCUUCCAGAAGAGAGUAUAGUUUUUCUGUUCUUUUCUUUCUCUAACUGGCCUGAGAUAUCAAGGAAAGUGAGAGAGCUAACAUAGCUUAAUUUUAUUAAGAAUUUGGAUUCUGUCCAACACAGAACCUGACACUAGAAAAUUUGAUGUAGAUCACCCAUCCACUCUAUUAAAAUUGCAUCACACUAUUUGCUAGGAAUGAUUGAUCAUGUAUCUGGGUAAGAUGUCCUUCAUUUCUAUUUAUUUGCAUUCCUCUUCCUCCAUCUUUGAGAACUAAGUUUAGUAAUCAAAGUUUAGAGAUGAAGUUACUUAGAAUGACUUUUCAUAUCCACCCUCAUAACCUCUUUCAGAUAUUUUCUAAUAUUCUUUUAAAGUAUAAAAGAAAUUGAAGGCUAUCAAUCACCAUCAUGGGAAAAUAGUUGGUUCCAAGACUGAAGAGUGCAAGGCCCUAGUUAUGUUUCUAUAUUGUCUUUAUCCAAACACUGAUGAAGAUUGUGUGGCAUCAAGUGUUAGAGGGGAGGAGAGUCAUACAAGGUGAGACACUUGAGUCCUUGGAAAUAAUUCCUUCAAAAACAGAAACAAGAAUGAAUGUAACACCUCAUCCCAUUGCUCUACAGGAGAGAAUUUUCAGAAAAGUGUAAGGUUUUCUGGAAACUUUUAGAAACUUACAGGCUAGAAAUUUUGAAGGAGAAGCACAUCAAGCAGCCUCCCAGGAUGUGGACAUGUCCCGAGACUUCAGAAUUUGAAAUAACUUUAUAAAUUGAGACUAAUGUGUAAAACAGAGAAGUCACAGAAUAUGGGUUCUUGUUAUGCGUGAUGAGAUCCAUAUAGAACAGUUAAAAAAAAAAAGCCAUCUUACAACUAUUAAUAAGAGAAGUGAUGAAUGCAUUGUUUUGUUUUUGAGUCCAGUAUUAUUGUCGGAAACUGGUGAGCUUUAGGAAGCAAAAUGUUUCCAGUCUCUCUCUUCUUGCGUAAAUACUGCCAAGAUUAAUAGCCAAUCAAAUGACUAUUGGAAAGGAGCAAAUUCGGAAAGGAGCAAAUGUUCAUUUCUGGUCGAUAGUUAGCCCUUGGUGUAAUCUUCCUACAUUGCAGAAAUCUGGCAGCACAGAAUAACAAAAACAAUUAUUUUAAGAUACACUUGACAAGACCCUUAAAUGUGCAUAUUUAGUUAUAACUUGGACAGGAUUUUGCUUCUGAGAAAAAUCAUUUGUGAUAAAUAGAACCAAGUAUAUUAAUACAUAGCAGGGUUAGAGGUUUGACUGUUCAGUCUUGUCUCUUCCUAUAAAAUGAACUUAGACCUGUUAAAGAAAGUUAGCAUGUAGCUACUUUUACCAUGCAGGCUGUAAAAGUUCCCCAAUGCCAAAGCAACAAGCAGUUUUUGGAAGCCGUUUGUUACCCUCAAAAGCCACAGUGAUGUCUCAUAGGCCUCUGCCUUUAUUUGACCAAUUUUGUGCCCUUCUGUAGAUCCCUAUGACAAAAAUAAGCGGAUUGUGGCUGGACCAUUAAGAGUUAUAAGAACCGAUAUAGUUUUCUGUGUUAGCAAUUUGCUAAGAUCAACUGGUGUAGUCAAAAAUACAGCCUAUUUCCAGUGGCUGUGUUUCCAUGUAUCAGCGGCCACAAGUGGCCUUAGAGACAGUUAAGGCUUCCUGGUGCUUCUGGACAGAGUAAGAACUUGACUUGAGACUGGUAAAGAGGCGACUGAAACAACUGAGAGAGAUAAGUUAAUAUACAUAUUUUUUAAAAAACAAAAUUCAACCAAUUUUACUAUGGUAAUAUGUUAUUUUAAAAACAUGUUUUUAAAGAAAUAACAGACUCUUUUAGCUAUUUUUAAUGGCAGUAUUGAAUAUCUCCUUUGUGCUGAAGAAAGCUUGCCAUUCUUCCUUAAAUGAAGAGGCCAAGAGCUAAAUUACAGGUUGCCCAAUUUUGCCUUUUUUCCGUCAUGCACAUGAUCAUGGGUUCUCUUGGCUUAUCCAUGUGUGAUCUUCAGGUUUGGGAAAAGAUGACACAGAUAUGAAAGCAGGGUAAGAUCCCAACACUUAAAUUUAAAUUACUUGCAUUUUGUGCAAGUUCUGUUGACUAAUGGAAGAGAGCUGGACUUCAAAUACAGCUGUGUCUGCGCAAACUUGACCACUUUGAAUACUGAAGUCUGGUUCCUCUGCCAAUUCCAUGGGCAAGAAAUUCCAGAGGCCUGAGUUGAAAUGUGCAGAUAAAUACUCAGUGCUGGGGUUCUUGGUGCCAAAGCACACAGAAUACUUACGUCUGCUAUGGAAAUCUUGGAAGAACAGAACUUCUGUUUUUAAUAUCUCUGAGGAUUUAGAACAGUUCUUAGACGACUUAUUACCUUUCAUAAAACUGACUCCUACUUUAAAAGUCUCUUGGUGGCUUACCUAUAUUAAAAAGAGGAAAAUAAUACUUUUUGAUUCCACUGAGUUUUCUCUUCUCUAUUGAAUUUAAACAAGCUAAUAAGAGAAAGGACAGCAGAGGAAAGAGUGUAGAAAUGGGACUUCAGAUGUGUGGGUUUUUUUUAACUUCUGUGGUCUUAAUUUCUCAUUUGUCAAACAAGAAGGGUGAUGAUCUCUAAGAUUCCUUUUGGAAAAGCAGGGAAACUAACAACCUUUAAGCUCCUACUGAGUGCCAGGCAUGUGAAAUACAAUUACUUAAUCCCCAUAACAACCCUGAGAUGAAGACAUUAUUGUAUUCCCCUUGAACAGACAAAGAACAAAGAAAUUGCAUAAUGUGCUCAAGGUCACGAAGUGAAUAAAAACUGGAUACACCUCUAGCUCCAACUGUAUGCAUCCUUCUAUUUCCAUCUCUGUGGUGUGAGCUCUGUACUUAUUAGUGAACUUAUAGAAUAGAAUACAAGGAGGAGAAAAUUCAUAAACAUGGGGAAAGCUAAAAUGUAUUUAAAGGCUAGCCUGGACAUUUAUCAACAAAUUAUCUUUGACAUGGAUACAUAUGAAGAGCUAGAGACAGAAGAAAAAUAACACACAAGGAUCACUAGGUUCCUCUUCCUGUGUAGAAUUUCUCCAUUUAAGGAUGUCUUAUGCUAUAUCACAACCUUUCUUGGUGUUUGUUUCUGUAUCUCAUUAUACAGAACUUGCUGUAAUGCUUACAUAUGAUAAAAUGUGUCUGUAAUGUGAGACCAAUAAACCCUUAUUUUGUGUUUUAGCUUAUAGAAUUGUCUGUGGUUGUUUGGGCUUUUGUACAUAUUCUCUUUCUUUUGUUAUUUUUUUUUAAAUUUUAAUUGGAGGAUAAUUACAAUGUUGUAUUGGUGUCUUCGGUAUAACAACGUGAAUUAGCUCUAAGUGUACACACGUUCCAUCCCUCUAGAGCCUCUCUCCUGCCCCCACCCCCAUCUCACCCUUCUAGGUCGCCAUAGAGCUCCAGGCUGAGCCCCUUGUGCUGAACAGCAACUUCCCCCUAGCUAUCUAUUCCUCAAUUGCAAUGUAUGUAUUUCAGUGCUCUGCUCAUGGGAGAUAUUUACUGGGCCGUUUUUAUGUGCCAGGCCCUGAGCUGAGUCAUAAUGUGAUAAUCCACAGGGCAAUCUUCUGAGGUUGAUAUUUUCCAUGUUUUACUGAUGAAGAAACCAGGUGUCAGAGAGGUUAGGCAACUCCCCUGAUAUCACACAGCUGAUAAGGAGCACAGCCCACAAUCAGACCCAGGGCUAUAAAUAAUGCCAACGUGAGAAGAGGCGAUUCUCACUUCCUGCCUUUGGGAGAGAACUCCUGAUUGUGCUUUGCCAGGAAUCUACUGUCACAAAUUUACUUUUAAAGUUUGCUGGACUUGUGCUCAUUCUACUAAGGACUUGCUUUAUUGGCACAUUGAGUAUCUGCUGACAGUCUCCUGAUUCCCUGCUUUAUGCCUUGGUUCCCAUAUGAAUUUUUCCUAUGUACUUGGCAUUUAAGAAGCUCACACAGCCACCCCUAUGGUCUCAGUUUGGAAGCUGGUGAACUCCGUGUCCUGCCUGGGGAAAUGGCACCUGAUGAGAAGAUUCCAGAAUCACCUUUGGGGUCGGCCUCUGGAUGAAACCCAAAGCAUUGCUUGCCAAAACUAAAGGCAGCGAGGCCUGAUGAGUGCCAGCGCCGGUGCAGAAAGGGGAACUCUACAUUUCCCAUCCUUCCAAGUAAGAACAAGCCACAAGCAACACAGCAGGAGAAGGAUGGGCUCCUCAGAGAGGAUGCUGCUGAGGAUUUUGGUCACGUGGGAAGUAAUGCAGAGGGCUUGCAGAGCAAGAACAAGAUGAAGCCAGCCCAGGGCUCUGAGUCUCCCAUGCUACAGGGGUUUGAGUGAGAGCCUGAAGCAGGCCAGGGGCAGGCUCUCACACCAUUGUAAACAGUCAGGAGUGAGACUGGAAGGUUUUGUUAUUUGCUUUGUUUGUUUUUUCCUGUCUCUAAGAUAUAGAUUUGAGGGACUUCAAAUAACAGUAGUGGGCCAAACCAGAAUCUUAGUGAUAAGCUAAUGGCAUGGGCUGCUUUAGAAGUAAGUAUAAAAGUUUAUAGUACAAAAGAUAUCCUUUAAUUUCCUUCUAAAUGAAGAUAUAAAUCUAACCUAAAAGGAGAGUGGAGGGUGAGAUGUUUUAUUGCUCUGCUCUUGAAUGUCAGGGCAGGAUUGUUAGAAGGGAAGCAGUGGAGUGACAAUUAAUACAACUUGGACCAAGAAAAAGAGAAGGAACAAGUUCUACUAGGAAAAUUCUUAAAAACUUCAACCCCAGAAGUAUUAACAUUUCAAUGAAAGGGGGGGAACACUAAUGUUACCUAACAGUAACUGUUAAGUUUUCAUUUCCUAUACCACUGGUCAUGAAUCAUGGGAAACUUAUAGAAGGGUAUAAACGGUUCAGAAGCCAGGCUAUACUGGAUCAACAUCUAAGCUGCCAGUCCUGAACUGGGAAUCAAAAGCCAAGGGGCUCUGCCCAGGUGGAAACCUCACUGACUGCGAGUGGAAGUCACCUCCUUUUUCAGGAGCUUCACCUCCUCAGUGUAAAAGGAGGGGUUCCUUUGAAUAAUAAAAUAAAAUUCUGUGAUUCAUAAUGUAAGUCCAUGAACUCUGUACUUGCCUGAGAUCACUAAAAGAAAUAUUUGGUGAAAAUGAAAAAGCAGAACAAAAAAGCAACAUUUUAUGUAUUCAACAAUGUUUAAGUCAAGGGAAUCUUA